UGAGGAAUCAAAUCCAGGGCUUCAUGCAUGCUAAGCAAACACUCUACAACUAAGCCAUAUUCCCAGCCAUGAAAAAAAGAUUUAUGAGGAAAAAAAUAAUAAUGUCAGGGUGCCUGAAGGAGACUUGGGAACUCCCAAGCCAUUCUUUUCUAGAGAUUUCGAGUCGCUCCAAUCAGCCGUUGCCAGUGCUCCAAGAGGAAGAUGCUUGCCCCGGUCUCCUGUGUGUUGUUGGGCAUUGCCCAGAAGCCGGCAACCAGAGUGCUAGUGGUAUCAGGUAAUUUGGUGAAUGAUGCUACAUUUGAAAUUAAGAAGUAUGACCUUCACUGGCUGAUGAAGGCCCUUUCAUUACAACUGUGCUCACCAGAGAGGAUGGGCUCAAAUACUGUAAGAUGAUGCAGACUGUGCACUGAAUGGAGUUAAAAGCUGAUCAGCUGUAUAAACAGAAAAUUAUUCGUGGUUUCUGUCACUUAUGUGAUAGUCAGGAAGCUUGCUGUGUGGGCCCCGAGGCUGGCAUAAAUCCCACAGACCAUCUCUUCAACAGCCUACUGGGCUCAUGGCUUCACCUUCACUUGGGGUCUUUCUGUUCAUGAAAUUCUUGCAGAGCUAACAGGAUGAAGAGGAGGUUGUGCUAAAGGGAAAAGAGGAUCUAUGCACACAUAUGUCAAGAACUUGUAUGGGGGCAGUGGCAUCGUUGGAGCUCAGGUACUCCUGGAAGCUGGGAUCGCCCUGGCCUGUAAGUAUAAUGGAAAAGAUGAAGUCUGUUUGACACUAUAUGGUGAUGGUGCUGCUAAUCAGGGUCAGAUAUUUGAAGUUUACAAUAUGGCAGCAUUAUGGAAAUUACCGUGUAUUUUCAUCUGUGAGAGUAACAGCUAUGGAAUGGGAAGGUCUGUUGAGAGAGUAGCGGCCAGUACUACAAGAGAGGAGACUUUUUCCCUGGGCUGAGGGUAGAUGGAAUGGCUAUCUUGUGUGUCCACAAAGUUUGCAGCUGCCUAUUGUAGAUCUGGGAAGGGACUUAUCCUGAUGGAGCCGCAGACUUAGCGUUACCAUGGACACAUCAUGAGUGACCCUGGAGUCAGUUACCACGCAUAAGAAGAAAUUUAGCAAGAAGAGUGACCCUGUUACGCUUCUCAAGGAUAGAAUGGUCAACAGCAAUCUGGCCAGUGUCAAAGAAUUAAAGGAAAUUGAUGUUGAAGUGAGGAAAGAAAUUGAGGAUGCCACCCAGUUUGCCAUAGCUGAUCCUGAGCAGCCCUUGGAGGAGCUCAGCUAUCACAUCUAUAGCAGCGAUCCACCAUUUGAAGUUUAAGUCAGUCACUUAAUGGGAGACUGUAAAUGAUGGACUGUUUAUCUGUGACUGUAAGGAAUCAGUAUUGCCAACUUUAAGGGAGACUAUUAAGGAAUAUAUCCAGAAAAUGAGCACCUAGGAGACUUUCAUUAUGACUAAGUAGCAUGUAAAUUAAAGGGAGAAUAAUGCAUGUUGGUUGUACAUUUUUGCAUUAGAAGAAGUUACUGAGUACUUAAAUAUUUUGUGUGAAUAUUAUAAAGACUGUUGGAUUUGUUUGUAUAGGUUUAAAAUAGUUCCACCAAAGUACACCCUCCCCCCUUUUCUGGGAUUGCUAUCUCCGCAGAGGCAUGAUGAGAUUAAGCCAUGGCCCACCUACAUAGGAUAGCAACCAUUCCAGUGAUUUCUCCAUAGUAAGACAAAAUAUUUAUUUUUAUAACGAAAUAAGAGUUGAAAAUAUUUACCAUUCCAAAAUAAGACUACAGUUAUUUCAAAUGCAAAAUAACUUAGUUCUGUCUCCAUUUGUACAGUCAACAAAGAAAUGACAUUAUUUUCACAAGUUACACUUCCAUCACAUUUAAAUGCAAGGCAUAUUUGUAUCAAUUUUACCCUUCAAAUCUAAGCACUAUACUAGUAAAUAACUUCUACCCUAGAACAGUGAUGCCUAGACUGUUACUUAACCAUACUUUGCUUUAUCUUUCCAGCAAGUGCUUUAAGGUAUAUUGAUA